ensembl:lncRNA
AGGUGUGUGUGUGUGUGUGUGUGUGUGUGUGUGUGUGUGUGUGUGUGUGUGUGUGUGAGAGAGAGAGAGAGAGAGAGAGAGAGAGAGAGAGAGAGAGAGAGAGAUUUGGUCAUCCUUUGCUCCUCCUGUUUGCGUCAGAGUCUCAGCGGUGCGGAAGCAUUUACUCAGAACAUCGCACACCUGUUAAUCCUCAGCGGCAAAAAAAAAGAAAAAGAAAAAGAAGAAGUUGCAUACUUAACACAGAAAAGGCACAGCAGGAGCUCAUACAGUCAGAGGAAGCAAGUGUUUGGCUUCAUGUGCUCGGAUGAAACACAAUGGCAACUUCCUGUUUUCUUUCUACUCGAAAGAACUUCCCACAACAUCAGAUGCACGUAUAGUCACCAAUAAUAAAUAAAGAAGAAGAAGUGAAGUCUAGCCUUCACAAUGAGGAGCUUUGACUGACAACAGUAGGCAUGUACUAUUCACAGAGGAGUUGUUUAUACAUUCAAUGAAAGAUUAAAGGACUAUGAAGGAGGACAUAUAAUAACGUCAGCUUCUACUGACAGCAAAGCUUGAAGACCCCAGUGGAUUGUUUUACCUGUUUUUUUUUUUUUAUUAUUAUUAUUAUUAUUAUUAUUUAAAGCUUUGCGUUUAGAUAUUUAUUGCACAGUUUAGAUGAGAGAGGUGUAUCUAUGAAGUGUGAGUGUGCAGCGAUGGAGAAGCUCGGAGAAGAUGGCUUUGAGAGAUGUGAACAGUUUGGGGACUGGUCCAGCUCUGAACACUGGGAUGAGGAUCACAGGGACAGCAGUGGCUUUGGGGACUGGGCUAGUUUUAAAGACGGACUCAGUGAAGAGAGUGAUUCUGCAGACUUAUUGUCUCAGGAAGGACAGACUUCUGGCCAUGAACACAAGGUAGAGAGAGGUGAUGAGCCCUGGAUUGUGAUCCAUGAUUGCUUUCAUGUUGAGGAGAUUGUGAGAGAUACAGACAUGAUGGAAUUUCUGCCACUGUCACAGCUACUGCACAAUUCCACACACACCCCUCCUCCUCCAGCAGUACUAUUAAGAAAGGGUGCUAGCUUUUACCACAGUUUGCUGUGUGAGCCGAAGUCUUCAAGCGUAACGAGUCCUAAACCCAAUUUGCAUUCCCACAAGCAGCUCACUGAUGCACUACAGCUCAAACAAUCCAAUACUUCACAGAACACGGAUUUACUUCACCUUGGGUUUGAGAAGCCUCAAAGUUCCUCUGCUGCUCUCAUCCAAACUAAGCUAACAGCACCCACGUGGUGUCAGACUUCUCCUGGAUUCUUCUACCAGAUCUCUCACCGAUGGCUCAGCCAGAACAGUUUGAGACUACAGAAUAAUCAGGACAACAAAAAAGACCUGCUGUAAUGACAGUGAAACACUGACUACGUUUACAUGGACAGCAGUAAUCUAAUUAUUAUCUUACUCUGAGUAAGACAAUAUAGUGAUUAAGGUGUUUACAUGAGUCGCUUUUAGAAUACUCCUUACAUGUUCCCGUUUUACAUGUUAUAGAACGUAAUUAGAUUAACGGUACAUGCAUUAUGUCAUCGCGCCACGCCGUCCAACGUUCCCUCCAGAAUUUCACAUAUCAACAUAUAGUUCAUCUUCGUUAUGGUACCGUAUACAGUUUUGGGUGUUUUUAUAAAAAAAAAUUUACGAACGCUUUAAGUGCAGUUAAUUAUUUGUCCUGCUAUAUGUGCAAGUAGACGACUGCUUGAAGCCGUGGGCUGCGUCCCAAACCGCGUACUUACCGUCUAUAUAGUAGCCGAGAUGCAUGUAUUUUUCCCCACUACAGGCCUAUAUUAAGCAAGUAUGCCGUUUGGGAAGCAGCUGUGCUCUCUUGUUCGCCGUGAAACGUUGAGCACUGCCGUGUGUGAUCAUGUCCUGUCGCAAAAUGCGGUGAAAACUCUCACACGACGUUAAUAGUGUGAUUAAGGUGUUUACAUAUCUGUAAUACACGUUGAUAAUGCGACUAAAACAGGAGUACUCCACAUGUCUUAAUUCCAUUAGUGUUUACUUUGAAUAUGACCUUAAUCAGAUUAAGGUAAUUAAAAAUUGCUGUUUACAUAGUAGUUUCUUAAUCACAGUAUUGUCUUAAUCGGAUUAAUAGUGGAUUAUUGCUGUCCAUGUAAACGCACUGACUGAUAAACUGUGCACAGAAUAACAUCAGUCUUUCUGAUAAUUGAGAUAAUAAAAACAAGUGUACCAACACAGGAAAAUACUUUAUUGUUGAGCUUCACACAUUAGGUGUCUAUUCUGAAUGCAAAAUAAAUUCACUCUAUAUGUACAGGGACAUCUCAAAAAAUUAGAAUAUCGUGGAAAAGCAGGUCCGGACUGGCCAUCGGGAGCACCAGGAGAAUUCCCAGUGGCCUGACAACUGAUUUGGCCUGCUGCCCUGCUGUUUUUUUAUUUUUAAUUUAUUUUAUAUUAUUGCAUGUCCUAUGUACUUGAGUUUUGGACUUUGGCAUUUGAUAAUAAAUCGAAAUAAAUCACUACCAUUCUCCUCAGCUCCGGUGAACAGUUUUGAACAGAGUGCUCAAUGCACAGAGCGAGGAUGGAGAGGAAAGGGCCAGGUGGAGCAGAAAGAAAGCCCUCUGAAAAGAAGCAGCAAAAAUGUAACAAAAUUACUGACCUGUUCAGGGCUUCAAGUGCAGGUCUCCCAGAGCCUGAAGCAGCAAAGCAUCCCCUCACCAUCACACUUCCACCACCAUGCUUAAUCGUAAGUAUGAUGUUCUUUUUGUGGAAUUCAGUGUUUGGUUUACGCCAGAUGUAACGGGACCCCUGUCUUCCAAACAGUUCCACUUUCGAAUCAUCAAUCCACAGAACAUUCUCUCAAAAGAUUUGAGGAUCAUCAAGGUGUGUUUUGGCAAAAUUCAGACAAGCCUUAAUGUUCUUCUGGGUUAGCAGUAGUUUUUUAUGGAAGUACAAUAGUGCCAAAUGUCCUCAAGGCAAAAUCGCAUGUUGAAUUACAUAAAUCGAAUGAAAACAUAUCGCAAUAACAAUACUUUUUCAGCCCAGUGAUUUGACACAAG